ensembl:processed_transcript Gm19744 predicted gene, 19744
UAUUAUUUAAAAUUAUAGUGGUUUUAAAUGAACUUUUAAAUAAAUACUAAUGUUAUUGCAAGCAAUUAAAGAAAUUUAUGGGAGAUGGAACGGAAAUCAACUCAACAAUACGCUUUUCAAAAAAUAUUUCAGAAUAAGACCAUCAAAAAAUUGAGAAAGGCACCUAGAUACCAGGUACUUUUGUGUCACUAUCUAAUGCUCAGGUGACACUCAGCAACACAGCUAUGUUCCUACUGAGGGCCAUUGGUUUUUCUUUUUAAACACAAGGCAUCAUUAUUACACAUCCCAUCAUUAAUUCCCUUUAUCAUUACAUCCUUCUGUAUCAUGUGACUUCAACAAGAAGCAUUAGCACUUAUGGCUAUGAUCCUACUUCUCCAUAUUCUGUGAAUGUAAAGGGUUUUAUUAUGAGUAACGAAGAAAGUACGCAGAUAAAUCUUUCUGAUUUGUCACUAGUACCCUGCCACACCCUACCGAAUCCCAUGUCACCCCUCCUCCUCCUAAUCACAUUUCUAACAUGAAUUUGUGUUAAACAGAUAGAGAUGAUUGGCAGGUGGAUAACAGAUGAUCAAUAGAGCAUACCAUACAUUAUCUCAAACAAAUCAUCACAAAUAUCUCCCCACACAGUUAUUAAUAUCUUCUCCAUCUUAAAUUGAGAACACUGAAGGGUGAAGCAUUUGUCCAAUGUCAGUUGAACCAGGCCAAGUAUCUUUGUUUUCAAAGCUCAAACACAUAAACACUAAUGACUAUCUCCUGGUAAAACAGAAUUUGUUCUAAUGAUUACUUCAUUUAUGCACAAAUAGAUUCAUCAGCUGAAGUGCAAACUAGAGUUUAAUGAGGGAGAAAUGCUUUUUCUUUCACAGUACUUGAGACUGACACCUUGGCCCCAUGUGCACUGGGCAAGAGCUUCACCACUGAGCUAUAUUUGCAGCCCAGACCCACACACAAAAAAACCCCUGCCUUUUGGGGUUGUUGUUGUUGUUGUGUGCUCUGUGUUUGAAGCUAUAACUUCAAAUAAUUGAGCGUGACAAAACGUCAGUUCCCACUGUGCCAUAGCACACUUAUCCGUUUUUAUGUGCAACCCAGAUUUAGAAUAAAAUUGCCCAAAUAUAACACAUUUUUAGAUCCCUUUAUCUGUUGCUCUAAAAUCAUUGUCUCUCUCAGUUAAAGUUACCCUGGCUCUCAGGUUCCACCCAAGAAUGAGGAUUCGGUCUUUAGCAUUGGUCUAUGAAGGUAAAAACAAAUCGCUAAUUUGAAGACUAGCUGUAGAUGGGGAGAAAAGAAAUAUUUGUCCGUCUGGUAAAGAAUUUCCAAGAGGGUUGUCACUGUUCCAAAGGUUUUUAGGUUCUAGAAUCUGGUCAUCUUUUUCAAAGCAUCAGGAAAGUUAAGCAGGGUGAAUUGCAAGCUUACUGCUACUUGGAAUCACAGAUCAUUAAAAAACUGUCUGUUAGAGGGCACCUUGGGGAGCGAGUGGGGACAGCGAUGGUUUCUGUGUGGUAGCAAAGCAAUAACGAACUUGUCUAAUCACUUUCUGUGAACAACAAUAGAUCAUCCAUCGUAGAAGGAAAAAUGUGCAUCUGUAUCGGCCUGUGUGCAUUCAUUCUUGUGACUUUUAAAGUCUUCCCUUACAUUUCCUCUUGUUACUACAGAGUCUUCAUAAAGACAGAAUUUAACACAAACAACUAAAAUCAGAGCAGAAAUUAAAACUGAUAUUUAUUUUUGUUUCUUUGGUUGAAACCACAUAUUAAUGAUAAGAAUCUUAAUUUCAAACAUGAACAUUAAACACAUUUUAAUUUUAAUGGUGACACCAUUAUUUUGUAAGAGGCAGAAUUAGUGUAAAGAAAGGCAGACUCAUAUUAUAUUCAUAAACAGGAAGAGAAAUGAUUAUGGCUGUGCCUCGCUUUAUCCAUUUAGGUUUCUCAUCUUAACAGAUGCAUAUUAGUGCAGCCCAAUGUAGUUUGCUGUGACGUGCAGUGACUGAUCAACUGUUAAAUGAUUGAUUAUACUGGUCACAUUAAUUUUACAUGUAUGGGCAUGCCAUAUGUUCAGGGUUAAGUUGUAGAAAGCAAUCCCUUUGUCCGCUCUUCACUUCCUCACCCCCUACCACAUGUAUAUUUUAUAUUUACAUCAACAUGGCUCAUAGAAUAGAGAGUGAUAGAAAUAAUUAAAUUCCAUUUGGUUUUGCAGGUGGCCUGGUCAUAGCUAUUUGGUAUUGCACAUCACUAUCUUGUCUAACAAAGGGGGGUACUUAGUCAAAUAACAAUUUCAUUUCAUCUUGGGGUUAAAAUUGCCACAUAAAAAGGACUAGAAAGUCCCCUCUGUAGACUCUCGUCUCAGCUUUUGAAAGCAUCCACAGAGAUGGUGUUAUUAAACUUGAAAGGUUUGCAUUUAUGAGUAGUAUCACCUGGUUUUCUAACCAGUAGUUGUUCUUGCCUUUCAAAGCACCUAGCAAAAUCCAAAGUCUCCAUUAAGUAUUUUAGUCAUCGACAUAGUACAAUGACCAGGUAAUAUAUCGCUACAACCUUGCAACUUUGUCUUAAAGAUUUCCUAGUAACAAUUGUUCAGGGCUAAAGACAAAGGAGAAGGAUGCCUAAUUACAAACUUGCUUUUCUUCCUAGACAUAGAAUGCUCAGACAGGACUGAGUCUCCUCAGUCAACACUGGCAUCCUUUGAAGAUCCACAAACUGAGUCUCUGACUAAAGAGAGGAGAAUUCCAGAAAAGUAGCCUCUUUGGAAUUGAAAUGAAGUCAGCUAAUUCCCAGGUUACGUAAGUGUGUGGCACAGCAUCUUGGUGGCUGUGAUGAUGAACAAAUGGUAUUCAUUGGCUCUAACAUGAAUUGUGAUUUGCAUGUGUAUAAGUUCAAUCCACGUAGUUCUACAAGUGUCUAUCAGCUAUGGAGUAUAUUUCUUGUUCUCUUAUUUUGUCAGGAAUAUCAUGAGUGGAACUGUCUUCACUUUCAACUGGGAAAAUGCCUAGACAUAUUACUUUAACUCAGUGAAAUACUAAUUUACAAAUGCUGUACUUUCUUUAAUUUUUAAUGCUUUCUGUAUCUUCAAAUAUAAAAUUCUGAAUUAUAUGUUGUUCUUACAGUUAUAAUAUCUGAGACCAUGCACUCCCUACAUCAUAUUUAAGGGGAAAAGAAAACCUUGUUUCUCUUAGAUUUAAAUAAACUACUACACUAUAAGGAUAUAUCCAGUUUGAACUCUGGCAGGAUAUAGCUUUGAGUUAAGGAAGGCAAUAAGAAUAGAGGAGGCAUGAACACACAAGAACUUGGGAAGAGAGGAAUGUGAGCUGUGACAAACCAAGCAGAAGUGUUUCCAUCUCAAUGGCACCAUGAGCUGGAGAAGUCAUAGGAAACCAAAGGACUCAAGAGGAGACACUGCUAUCAAGAACUCCUGUCCACCGUGCAUUGGUGAAAGGAGAUGAAGCCAUUUUGCCAACCUGAACCUUUUUCCAUGGGGCACUAUACAGCUUAACCACUGAACUCUGUUGAGCCGUUGAGGGCUCCUAAACAAUUUCUUAGCACGGAGUUCCUCUUUUCAGUAAACCCUGCUUCUCACUGAGUACAGAGUCGAAGCAAUCCUACAGCACUAACAUUUCAAUUGUUGCAUAUGGAGCCCAGUACGUAAAGGACCCCCAAAGAGUGGUUUAUAACUGGAUUAUAGCUGCUCCAUACAUUUAACUUUCCAUGAAUAGUUUCUGACGUUUUGAAGACUAAGCACCCCAAGUCAUAACUUUUCUAUCCAAGCAUGUAGGAAAGCAGUCACUGACUGUGUGUUUCUUCACUGACGAGAAUACAAACAUCGAUGAGACUGUUAGCACCCAUGGUAUCUGAGGGAGAACUUACAGAAUUUGUUCACCUAUGUUACAUAUAAGACAAUAGAUUGUAUAUACAAAUAUAGAAAACAUUUCACUUGUGUGUAUGUGCACUAUAUGUAUUUUGAGUGCAGAUCAAGUAUGUAAUAGUCCCACUUAUUAUUAGUUUCAUUUUUUACAAUUUCAUAACUGUGGCCUAAAAAUAGUAGGUGGAAAAUUUUAGAAGCAAUUCAUACAUAUGUGUUAAAUUACACCACAUUUUGAGUACAGGGUUAAAUUCUCAUUCUGUAUUGCUUCUUCUUGCCCAAAAUAUAACUCAUUUCUUUAGUCAGUGCAUCUGCUCUGUAUAUCUUGCCUGCUACCUCCAUGAUCAGAACCAUUUUGGAACAGUGUAGGGUCUGUAUUCAAAUCACCCUGUGAUGCUUAGCAAUAUCUCAGUCACGAUACUGAAAACUGAAUACGUUAGAGAAAAACUGGCUAGUGUCUUCUUCAAGUGAAAUGUAAAAGUCUCCACUUGAGGAGGCUUUUAUAGAGCUAUCAUGUUGUUAAAUCAUAUACUAGGCAUGAUUCAUAAAUUAAUCUGUUAUAGAUAUGUAUGUACAAGAGAAAAGCAUGAUGCAUAUAGGGGCUGGUAUCAUUUGUGAUUUCUGAUAUUCACUGUAUUCUUGGAACACAGAAUUGUAUCCCAUUGGCUUUCCCCAACCCUAAUGUUGUAUGUUUAAUG